rnacentral:rRNA from 1 species
ACUCCUACGGGGGGCAGCAGUAGGGAAUCUUCCACAAUGGGCGCAAGCCUGAUGGAGCAACACCGCGUGAGUGAAGAAGGGUUUCGGCUCGUAAAGCUCUGUUGUUAAAGAAGAACACGUAUGAGAGUAACUGUUCAUACGUUGACGGUAUUUAACCAGAAAGUCACGGCUAACUACGUGCCAGCAGCCGCGGUAAUACGUAGGUGGCAAGCGUUAUCCGGAUUUAUUGGGGCGUAAAGAGAGUGCAGGCGGUUUUCUAAGUCUGAUGUGAAAGCCUUCGGCUUAACCGGAGAAGUGCAUCGGAAACUGGAUAACUUGAGUGCAGAAGAGGGUAGUGGAACUCCAUGUGUAGCGGUGGAAUGCGUAGAUAUAUGGAAGAACACCAGUGGCGAAGGCGGCUACCUGGUCUGCAACUGACGCUGAGACUCGAAAGCAUGGGUAGCGAACAGGAUUAGAUACCCUGGUAGGAUAGCG